rnacentral:sRNA from 1 species
CACAAUAAUGGCUUAUGGGUGGUUGGCUAGUCUCCUGUAAAGGAGGUGAUGCCAGUGAGCGUAUUUGAAGCAUUGAGUCUAAUGUUCCUUUUCGGGAUGUUCAUUCUUGCUUUGCUCACCUACUUAAAGAAAAAGUAGACCGCCCUCUCACAAAGGUAUGCGGUCUACUUACGCACUUUUGAUAAGCCAACCGCUCAUCUAGCGGUUAUUGUGGGAUGAAGAUCACAGUUGGCGCUGUGGUCU